AUACGUAGGUGCCAAGCGUUAUACGGAUUUACUGGGCGUAAAGGGCGUGUAGGCGGUCUUGCAAGUCAGAAGUGAAAUUCUUGAGCUCAACUCGGGCGCUGCUUCUGAAACUGCAGGACUUGAGUGCUGGAGGGGAUCGCGGAAUUCCUAGUGGAGCGGUAAAAUGCGCAGAUAUUAGGAAGCACACAGGUGGCGAAGGCGGCUAUCUGGACAGUAACUGACGCUGAGGCGCGAAAGCGUGGGGAGCAAACAGGAUUAGAUACCCUGGUAGUCUACGCCGUAAACGAUGAAUACUAGGUGUAGGGGGUAUCGACUCCCUCUGUGCCGCAGUUAACACAAUAAGUAUUCCGCCUGGGGAGUACGGCCGCAAGGUUGAAACUCAAAUGAAUUGACGGUG
rnacentral:rRNA from 1 species